UACCAGCUCUUCGAGUGGUCGGGAUAAUUAUUGGGCUUAAAGUGUCCGUAGCCGGUUUAGUAAGUUCCUGGUAAAAUCGGGUAGCUUAACUAUCUAUAUGCUAGGAAUACUACUAUACUAGAGGGCGGGAGAGGUCUGAGGUACUACAGGGGUAGGGGUGAAAUCUUAUAAUCCUUGUAGGACCACCAGUGGCGAAGGCGUCAGACUGGAACGCGCCUGACGGUGAGGGACGAAAGCCAGGGGAGCGAACCGGAUUAGCUACCCGGGUAGUCCUGGCCGUAAACGAUGCAUACUAGGUGAUGGCACGGCCAUGAGCCGUGUCAGUGCCGUAGGGAAACCGUUAAGUGUGCCGCCUGGGAAGUACGGUCGCAAGGCUAAAACUUAAAGGAAUUGGCGGGGAGCACCACAAGGGGUGAAGCCUGCGGUUC
rnacentral:rRNA from 1 species